GCGUUGGGAUUUGAAAACGGAGCUCGCGCGCUCGGACGGCCCCACGUGGUCCCGGUCUGAGGCGCUCAACGGUUUCAACGGUUUUCUGAGCGCGAGCGAGAGGAGCAACGGCUGUUCGAAGGGGCCGCGGCUGCGUGGGGGGUGGGGGGGGUGACUUGGUUUUCACUAACCUCCCUGCAGUGAGUUCUCUUAGACGUCCAUCCAUCCAUGAGCGCGUGCCUCGACGGACGGACGGACGCCCUGGACCGGUUCCCGCUCGGAAACGACGGCCCGGCCCGGCCGACACCGAAGCUGGUCCACCUCAAUAAGACUGGAUCCCCCAUUGCUGGAAAAUUAUCUCGGUUUACUAGAUGAAGCAGAUUCCACACUUCGACCUAAGAGUAACCUACAAAAUGCAUAAAACUGAUUAAAUGUGGUAUUUUGUGUGUG